rnacentral:lncRNA from 1 species
GUUGUGAGGACACGCCAAAUCACUGCUUUGGGUCAAAGUUCAAGCAAACAAGACCAGUUCGUCGCUGCUGCGGGACAGCAGGUUGAAGGCCAGGUGACUGUGGCAGCGGUUUGUUCAGGAUACUCCUUAAAAACACGAAGGAACCACCAGCUGGAGCUAAUUUCAUCAUCAGGACCUUGGCAGUCCCCCGGUGCUGCUUGCUGGCGUUACAGAUAUUCAUCCCAUUUUGGAUUACAGGGCUACUAACUGAAUGUGAGAUUAUUUAGAAAUACAGAAGAAAGUAGUAACCCAUCUGAACAUGUCUAAGCCAUUUAACUUGUCCACUGGACAGGUUGAGGGUAUAGGCUCUCCUCCCCAGAGAGGCCUGCAACUGGGCCCAUCUCCUGAGAGUCAUUUCAGCAACUCAUCCAUGUCUUUGUCACCUGACUCAAACAGUAGUGUUCCCAACCUGAGAGACAGUGAAGCCAAUAGCUCACCUGAUGUCAAUAUGCUCAAUUGCUCUCUCAGCGAAGGUUCCUCUUUGCAUAACACCUACAUCACCACCAUACCACAGAGUGAAGUGUCCUGUAGUGGCAGUUUGAACCUGAAUCAAACUUUUAUUGCCACCCCUGUUAAUGGCAGCAUGAAUUACUGGAAUGAAAACUUGAGUCUAAUUAGCAAUUCAAAGAUGGAAUCAGAAAAGUACCAGACUUUUAUCAUGAGCACUGAAGGACUGUGUAACAGCGCAGUGAUAUCGCCAGACUCUGCUGGGAAUACAAACCAACUGAGUUCGUGUGUUACCUCCCGUAAAGGAUGCACUGAGUAUAGCUCCUACUCCCUGAGCUCUGGAGAAAGGGUAAUGAGGAGCAACAGUUUUUGUCUGGAAGACCAGUCAUUCUUAAUCUCUUCGUUGGAGGAUUCAUCUGUCUCUCCACCUGUUGGCCACCCAGCAUUGUCUGCCAAAUCUAACCUGCUCUCAACCACUCUGCCAGAUGUCUGCAGAAAAUCCACAGAAAGUGUCCUGGAGCAAAACAAACGCCAUCCAUGUCUUGGUAUGACUUUCAUUCAGGCAGACAACUGUGAAUUCACCACUGAGGAAAAUAUGGCAACAUCCAGCUCUCUUCUAACUCUGCCAGAGGAGAAUGAAAGGGCCCUUUUGAUGAGCUUUGUUUGUGAAAAAUCUUCUGAAGAUUGGAGGACAAAGGCUCAGUUUACUAGUGCUGGAGCAGAGCUGUUGCCUCAUUUUCCUGGAGAAAUUACACCAGAACAAGGCAAGACCUGCGUUCCCACACUGUCAGCUAUGCAAAAAACUGAUAAGCACAUUCAUACUUCCACACCAGUACAAACCAAUGGAAGCAAACUACUCAGCCUCCCUUCCUUUUCAGAGUCUCCUUGCAAUGGAAACACAAGCAGCCCUGGAGUACACCAGGUUAAACAGAAGCCAAUCUCUAUUACUUCUAAAGAACAUUUGUUGGUAGGACUUUCACCUUCAUCCAGCAAGGUCAACAAAAAAGAACCUAAAAAGUUUCCAAAAUCAGACUUCAGUAAUGUAAAAUCUAAAGUUGUGACAAGACCUGUGCAUCAAACGGCAGUGCUGGGCCAUGCUUCACAACAUAAAUCAUCACAAUUCAAUGUCAACAACAAACCUACUGAAAUACACAGAGGAGCAACUAUAAGGAUGACUCCUACCAAAAUAAGGAGUAUCCAUACAGUUGUCUCUGCCACUACUAAAAUGUUCAGUGGUGCUCAGAGACAAGUGAAUGGGGCUGUCAACUUUGGUGUCACAGUGACACAAUCAUGUGGGCAUACUGCUGUGGAAGUACAGGACAGUAGCAGAGCAUCCCCUUCUGACCACAAAACAUCUUCAAAUAAACAUAAUUUAACGCAGUGCAGUAACACCAGCCUUGAAAGACAGUAUGCAGCCUUAAACCAUGUAGCAGACACCCCAGAGCAGCAUCCUGGCAACGAGACCUUCUGUUUCUCAUCCUUAGAAAAAUCCCCUCAUAGAAGUGGCCAGCCACAUUGCAGACUAACGCCAAAGAAGGAUAUAUCUCACACAAUUGAGGUCAGCUCAGGCUCAGCUUUAGGUCAGGACAAGCCCACCAUUCUCAACACACGGCCUCGUUGCUCUUCUGAGAGUUCAUCAUCAUCAUCUAGGCCACCCAAGGAGAAGAGGACAGCUCUAGGGUUGUCGACUACCGUUACUAUUCCUAAAGCUGAAACUUACCCAGGCCAGACCAAACCAAGGAAUCUAAACUACUCUAAGAGCGCCCUACAGGCUGAGACCUCAAACAGACGUACUCAAAACACCACAAGAGAGUUUAGGAAAAUCAGCCUGGUGGCAGUCUCCAGCAAAUGGACAACACAAAGCACUUCAUUGGAUGAGACUAAGAGCAGAGUUCAAGGAGGACCAUCACCUAGACGAACAAGAGGAGUACCACAACAUCCAGCUGCUAGUCCCAGACCAGCCACUCUAUCAACCAAGCAGAGGCAGGGAUACCAAGGGAGGGAUGAAUGCAAGAUCCCCAGAGCUGUAUGGACACCACAGCCCAAGCAGAGGAACACAACAGGCAGUCAGAGAGUAAAGGUAACAGGAGAGGCAACCGUUGGAAAUAUCUCAAGAGCAAAUAUUAAACCCCAGCUGAAUGAGUUCCCAACUCCUACCCGUCCGACUUUUAUGGGGGAUCCCCCUACUCCAGCGUCUAGACUACCACGCAAGACCCCACGACUAACCAGGACCUGCACUGUGAACAGUGCAGUAACACCAGUUCACAGUGUACUGGGUGAAGAUGCUGGGAGUACACAGGGUUCAGAUGGAGCUGCACGUAAACCAACCCCAUUCAGGUCAGUUGUACAUAGAACAAAGCUCAUCUCAACCUCUGGAAAGAGCACUCAGGCACUCAGCACUCCAGUUUUGACCUCAGCAUGUAAGCCAUCUGCUUCCGUCAACAAACAAGAUUCAAAUUCUACAGUGAGUCCUCUGAAAAGGGAUGGUUCUACAAAACUACUUCAUUUAACUUCAUGUGGACCUGGUAAGUUUUUUUUUUUUUUUUUUUUUUUUUUUUUUUUUUUUUUGCAGGGCUAA